rnacentral:rRNA from 1 species
GCGGUGGACUUGGGUGUUGCUGCUUUAGUUGUGGCUCACCUCAAAUGAGUUAGUACAACUCUUGGUUGGACAUAGUACGGCGUGAUAAGUGUCUUCGCCGGCGCCUCCUCACAAGGAGGGUGGCCGAUCGGGAGCUCUGUGCUUCAAACCGUCUUCGGACAAUCUCUGACAACUUGACCUCAAAUCGAGUAGGACUACCCGCUGAACUUAAGCAUAUCAAUAAGCGGAGGAAAAGAAACUAACAAGGAUUCCCCUAGUAACGGCGAGUGAAGAGGGAAGAGCUCAAAUUUUGAAUCUGGCGUCUUUGGCGUCCGAGUUGUAAUACUAAAGAAGUGUUUUCCGUGACGGACCGUGCAUAAGUCUCCUGGAAUGGAGCGUCAUAGAGGGUGAGAAUCCCGUAUAUGGCACGGACUCCCGUUACUUCUGUGAUACACUCUCAACGAGUCGAGUUGUUUGGGAAUGCAGCUCCAAAUGGGUGGUAAAUGCCAUCUAAAGCUAAAUAUUGGCGAGAGACCGAUAGCGAACAAGUACCGUGAGGGAAAGAUGAAAAGCACUUUGGAAAGAGAGUGAAACAGUACGUGAAAUUGUUGAAAGGGAAACGCUUGAAGUCAGUCACGCCCUUUGGGAUUCAGCCUUGCUUCUGCUUGGUUUACUUCCCUUUGGGUGGGUCAACAUCAGUUUUGGUCGGAGGAGAAAGGCUUGGGGAAGGUAGCAACAUUCGUGUUGUGUUAUAGCCCCUCGUUGUAUACUUCGACUGGGACUGAGGACCGCAGCACGCCUCUGGCCGGGGUUCGCCCACGUACGUGCUUAGGAUGUUGGCAUAAUG